rnacentral:rRNA from 1 species
AUUGAACGCUGGCGGAAUGCUUUACACAUGCGAGUCGAACGGCAGCACGGACUUCGGUCUGGUGGCGAGUGGCGAACGGGUGAGUAAUAUAUCGGAACGUAUCCAAUAAUGGGGGAUAACUAGUCGAAAGAUUGGCUAAUACCGCAUACGCCCUACGGGGGAAAGCAGGGGAUCUUCGGACCUUGCGUUAAUGGAGCGGCCGAUAUCUGAUUAGCUAGUUGGUGGGGUAAAGGCCCACCAAGGAGACGAUCAGAAGCUGGUCUGAGAGGACGACCAGCCACACUGGAACUGAGACACGGUCCAGACUCCUACGGGAGGCAGCAGUGGGGAAUUUUGGACAAUGGGCGCAAGCCUGAUCCGGCCAUUCCGCGUAAGUGAAGAAGGCCUUCGGGUUGUAAAGCUCUUUCGCAAGGGAAGAAAACUUAGCCACUAACAUUGGCUGAGGUUGACGGUACCUUGAUAAGAAGCCCCGGCUAACUACUUGCCAGCCGCCGCAGUAAGAC